AACGCGAAGAACCUUACCUGGGCUUGAACCGCACAGGACCAGCUUGAGAAAUCAGGCCUUCCCGCAAGGGACCUGUGUAGAGGUGCUGCAUGGCUGUCGUCAGCUCGUGCCGUGAGGUGUUGGGUUAAGUCCCGCAACGAGCGCAACCCUUACUCAUAGUUGCUACCCGCAAGGGAGAACUCUAUGAGGACUGCUCCGGAUAACGGAGAGGAAGGUGGGGAUGAGGUCAAGUCAGCAUGGCCUUUAUGUCCAGGGCUACACACGUGUUACAAUGCGCGCCACAAAGCGUUGCGAACCCGCGAGGGGGAGCUAAUCGCAAAAAAGCGCGCUCAGUUCGGAUUGCAGUCUGCAACUCGACUGCAUGAAGCCGGAAUCGCUAGUAAUGGCGCAUCAGAACGGCGCCGUGAAUACGUUCCCGGGCCUUGUACACACCGGAGUA
rnacentral:rRNA from 1 species